rnacentral:rRNA from 1 species
GACGAACGCUGGCGGCGUGCUUAACACAUGCAAGUCGAACGGAAAGGCCCUGCUUUUGUGGGGUGCUCGAGUGGCGAACGGGUGAGUAACACGUGAGUAACCUGCCCUUGACUUUGGGAUAACUUCAGGAAACUGGGGCUAAUACCGGAUAGGAGCUCCUGCUGCAUGGUGGGGGUUGGAAAGUUUCGGCGGUUGGGGAUGGACUCGCGGCUUAUCAGCUUGUUGGUGGGGUAGUGGCUUACCAAGGCUUUGACGGGUCGCCGGCCUGGGAGGGUGACCGGGCACAUUGGGCCUGAGAUACGGCCCAGACUCCUACGGGAGGCAGCAGUGGGGAAUAUUGCACAAUGGGCGGAAGCCUGAUGCAGCAACGUCGCGUGCGGGAUGACGGCCUUCGGGUUGUAAACCGCUUUCGCCUGUGACGAAGCGUGAGUGACGGUAAUGGGUAAAGAAGCACCGGCUAACUACGUG